ACCUACGGGAGGCAGCAGUGAGGAAUAUUGGUCAAUGGGCGCGAGCCUGAACCAGCCAGGUAGCGUGAAGGAUGACUGCCCUACGGGUUGUAAACUUCUUUUAUAAAGGAAUAGAGUGAGGCACGUGUGCCUUUUUGUAUGUACUUUAUGAAUAAGGAUCGGCUAACUCCGUGCCAGCAGCCGCGGUAAUACGGAGGAUCCGAGCGUUAUCCGGAUUUAUUGGGUUUAAAGGGAGCGUAGAUGGGUUGUUAAGUCAGUUGUGAAAGUUUGCGGCUCAACCGUAAAAUUGCAAUUGAUACUGGCAG
rnacentral:rRNA from 1 species